UAUACAUGGGGAUUGAAAGGGGAAUCCCCUUUUCCGCAGUAAGGAGGGUGCUCAGGAUGCAUUAAUUGAUGCAAGGCAUCCGUCGAAGGGAAC
rnacentral:sRNA from 12 species